rnacentral:rRNA from 1 species
CAGUAGCCGCGGUAAGACGGAGGGUGCUAGCGUUGUUCGGAAUCACUGGGCGUAAAGGGCGCGUAGGCAGCCUGUUAAGUCGGAUGUGAAAGCCCGGGGCUCAACCCCGGAACUGCAUCCGAGACUGGCAGGCUUGAGACCGGGAGAGGAGGGUGGAAUAUCCAGUGUAGAGGUGAAAUUCGUAGAUAUUGGAUGGAACACCGGUGGCGAAAGCGGCUCUCUGGCCCGGAUCUGACGCUGAGGCGCGAAAGCGUGGGGAGCAAACAGGAUUAGAUACCCCAGUAGUCCCUGUCUCUUAUAC